GGGAUGCAAUUAAUAAUUUCAAAUAUAGUUUAGUCGAUUUUUGUCGAAUAUAAAACUAUUAACUUCAUUAUGAUUAACUAUAUUGCAAUAUAUUUGUGUGAUUAAUUUCCUGAAACAAUUCCAUGGUAACGUCUCUGCCACCAGUCGGUGAGUGUAAUUUGUUGACGGUCCCUAAAACAGGUAGCAGCCAGAACGUAAAUGACGUUGUUGCACAGACAUUGAUGGCGCCAACAUGUGUUUGUGAUUUUUGCGAUGGUGUCCUAAACCGUCCUCAACAUACUAAGCCCUAUGGAAGCCUUCAAAUCCCAGAUGUGGAGACUGCAGGGAUACCUCACAGAGAAUACACUAAAGAGUCAUCUCUCAUUCAUCGAGUGGACUCAUUGGUUUGCGAAUGACCACAAAGAUGCUCCCAUAGGCAGAUUGCUGCAUGGCAUUCACCACUUAUUCAAAUUGUAGAGUUUGAAGCAGUCUUCCUUGUGGUCACUUGCCAUAACACUGUCAUGUGUAUUAUGAAAACACCAUCAGUAACAUUUAAAUUGAGUUGAUGUGGACGGCUCUUUUUUUGUCCGAUUUCUUCAGUGUUCAGUGCCUGUUUGUGAGAUAUGCAUUGUUUGAAAGAUAAGCCUUUGAUUUGUUUAAUUUUAAUAUGCCUUUCAUCAACAGUGGUUUGGGAUUUUAUAACAAUUAAAGUGCUUAACUACUGGUUAACGAUGUUGCAGAACAUAUAUGGUUUGUGUUGAUUGCAUGGAGAAGGGAAUAACCAGUUACAACUUGUAUGGUAAGAGCCUGGUAAUACCAUGGAAACAAACAAGGCUUCCUUUUACAGUACAGUUUCAGCUUAAUUACUGGGUAAAUUGUCGUGUUUUACUUGGUAACGUCGCAGAACGUACAUGGUACAAGUUUGUUUUGACUGCAUGGAACAGGGAAUAACGUAUUACAAAUGAUAUGGUAAGAACCUGGUAAUACCAUGGAAACAAACGAGGCUUCCUUUUACAGUACAGUUUCAGGUUACUUACCGGGUCAAUUGUCG
rnacentral:lncRNA from 1 species